rfam:Ovis aries breed Texel chromosome 6, whole genome shotgun sequence.
UCCCUGGUGGCUCAAAGGUUAAAGCGUCUGCCUGCAAUGCGGAGACCCAGGUUCAAUCCCUGGGUUGGGAA